AAAAAAACAAAUAUCCCUUACAUAAAUCAUCUUAGCAAUGUAACGACUCUUCAAAUUCCAGAGAACAGAAGCCUCAUUCAAGAUCUGCACAAAGUUUAAAUUGGACUUACUUCAUGCCCCACUAGAACAACAGCUUUUUUGCCAUCGUCGGACUGCAAAAGCCCUUCAACAAAACCUCCUUCCUCACCAGGGCACCAAACGGAUUUUUUAGCAUCGUAUGGUUUAAGUUGAUCAUUACGUUUCAUAUCAAAUGAAACGUACAGAAAUGGGGCUGGAUCUGGAUCCGGCUCAUUUGAAGCACCUAAUUUUAUGUUGCCAGGCAUGAUGAGAGAUAUUUAUUGAUUUGUCCUAAAGGUUAUUAAAAGACCUGACUUCCUCUCCUCAAUUUCAACUCCAUUUCAAAUUGGACAAGAUAGUUAAAAGUAUUUAUGUCUAAUGCUGCUUUUAUUGAUACUUUUAUGUGAUAAAAAGUUAUAUAAGCAAUAAUUAGAAAUAAAAAUUAUGCACCAUCACUAAUGUGAUAUUAAAUCAUUUUGACAACAUGCUUCUUACCUCUAACCAUAUAUCUAUUAGAAGG
rnacentral:lncRNA from 1 species